rnacentral:rRNA from 1 species
UACGUAGGGGGCAAGCGUUGUCCGGAAUUAUUGGGCGUAAAGAGCGUGUAGGCGGCUAGAUAAGUCCGCUGUGAAAUCUCGAGGCUCAACUUCGAGCUGUCGGUGGAAACUAUCUGGCUAGAGUCCGGAAGAGGAGAAUGGAAUUCCUGGUGUAGCGGUGAAAUGCGCAGAUAUCAGGAAGAACACCCGUGGCGAAGGCGGUUCUCUGGGACGGUACUGACGCUGAGGAGCGAAAGCGUGGGGAGCGAACAGG